rnacentral:rRNA from 1 species
AUUGAACGCUGGCGGCAUGCCUUACACAUGCAAGUCGAACGGUAACAGGUUAAGCUGACGAGUGGCGAACGGGUGAGUAAUGUAUCGGAACGUGCCCAGUCGUGGGGGAUAACUGCUCGAAAGAGCAGCUAAUACCGCAUACGACCUGAGGGUGAAAGCGGGGGAUCGCAAGACCUCGCGCGAUUGGAGCGGCCGAUAUCAGAUUAGGUAGUUGGCGAGGUAAAGGCUCACCAAGCCGACGAUCUGUAGCUGGUCUGAGGGGACGACCAGCCACACUGGGAAUGAGCGACGGGCCAGGCGCAUACGGGAGGCGGCAGGGGGGAAUGUUGGACAAUGGGCGCAGGCCUGAUCCAGCCAUCACGAGGGAGGGAAGAAUGCCGUCGGGUGCUAGAGCCCGUUUGUUGGGCAAGAAAAGAAGCAGGCUAAUAACCGGCUGUCAUGACGGUACCUAAAGAAUAAGAAACGGCUAACUUCGUG